rnacentral:lncRNA from 1 species
CACAAGUCUAAAAAGAAGAAAAAUACACUGAAGCAAUAGAAAAAGUAUUUAAAUUAAAAAUCGAAAGUUUUGAAGAUUAAAAAAUGAAAAAGUUAAUUUAGCAGUUUAAUCAUUCACUGCGCCUGGAGAAAACAGACGAAGGCGAAGUGACUCAACAUUCCUGCGAAAAAUCUAUGCCUCUUUUUAUCAUUGAUUAGGAGAUAACCCAUAAUACAUGGCCGGUGAAUCAAAGGCAUCUCAAGAGGCAAAUGAACAUUAAAUAAAGAAAAUUGAAACAACUAAAGCUACGCCGUUGGUAGAAUGGAUGAAACUUACAGAGGAAUAGGGUUUUCUGUAACCCUUUGUGUUUGUGUGAAGAAGGAGAGCCUCUGAGUUAUAUAAUGGUCGUAUUUGAAAUAGGGUUUUUAUUUUUGUGAAAAGACUAAAGAACCUCCCUUAUUCUUUUAAUUACGACUUUGACCCUUCGUUCUUUUUUUCUCUUAGGUCGAAAAGCCCUUUCGUCCUAUGAACUUUGAGAUGAACUUUCAACUAGUCGCCCUAUUGGACUGGACUCCAUAACUUU